AAAGCUCGUAGUUGAAUUUCGGGGUUAGUAGGUUGGUCAUGCCUCUGGUAUGUACUGGUCUCACUGAUUCCUCCUUCCUUAUGAACCGUAAUGCCAUUAAUUUGGUGUUGCGGGAAAUUUGGACUGUUACUUUGAAAAAAUUAGAGUGUUUAAAGCAAGCUAACGCUUGAAUACAUUAGCAUGGAAUAAUGAAAUAGGACGUUCGAUCUUAUUUUGUUGGUUUCUAGGAUUGACGUAAUGAUUAAUAGGGAUAGUUGGGGGCAUUAGUAUUCAAUUGUCAGAGGUGAAAUUCUUGGAUUUAUUGAAGACUAACUACUGCGAAAGCAUUUGCCAAGGAUGUUUUCAUUAAUCAAGAACGAAAGUUAGGGGAUCGAAGACGAUCAGAUACCGUCGUAGUCUUAACCAUAAACUAUGCCGACUAGGGAUCGGAUGAUGUUAAUUUUUUAAUGACUCAUUCGGCA
rnacentral:rRNA from 1 species